rnacentral:rRNA from 1 species
AGAGUUUGAUCCUGGCUCAGGACGAACGCUGGCGGCGUGCCUAAUACAUGCAAGUCGAGCGGACAGAAGGGAGCUUGCUCCCGGAUGUUAGCGGCGGACGGGUGAGUAACACGUGGGUAACCUGCCUGUAAGACUGGGAUAACUCCGGGAAACCGGAGCUAAUACCGGAUAGUUCCUUGAACCGCAUGGUUCAAGGAUGAAAGACGGUUUCGGCUGUCACUUACAGAUGGACCCGCGGCGCAUUAGCUAGUUGGUGGGGUAAUGGCUCACCAAGGCGACGAUGCGUAGCCGACCUGAGAGGGUGAUCGGCCACACUGGGACUGAGACACGGCCCAGACUCCUACGGGAGGCAGCAGUAGGGAAUCUUCCGCAAUGGACGAAAGUCUGACGGAGCAACGCCGCGUGAGUGAUGAAGGUUUUCGGAUCGUAAAGCUCUGUUGUUAGGGAAGAACAAGUGCGAGAGUAACUGCUCGCACCUUGACGGUACCUAACCAGAAAGCCACGGCUAACUACGUGCCAGCAGCCGCGGUAAUACGUAGGUGGCAAGCGUUGUCCGGAAUUAUUGGGCGUAAAGGGCUCGCAGGCGGUUUCUUAAGUCUGAUGUGAAAGCCCCCGGCUCAACCGGGGAGGGUCAUUGGAAACUGGGAAACUUGAGUGCAGAAGAGGAGAGUGGAAUUCCACGUGUAGCGGUGAAAUGCGUAGA